rnacentral:rRNA from 1 species
CCUACGGGUGGCAGCAGUGAGGAAUAUUGGUCAAUGGCCGGAAGGCUGAACCAGCCAUGCCGCGUGAAGGUCAGUGCCCUAUGGGCGUUAAACUUCUUUUGUCGGGGAACAAAGGCGGAGACGCGUCUCCGGAUGAGUGUACCCGAAGAAAAAGCAUCGGCUAACUCCGUGCCAGCAGCCGCGGUAAUACGGAGGAUGCGAGCGUUAUCCGGAUUUAUUGGGUUUAAAGGGUGCGCAGGCGGGAGAUCAAGUCAGCGGUAAAAUGUCGGGGCUCAACCCCGGCCGGCCGUUGAAACUGGUUUUCUAGAGUUGGAGAGAAGUAUGCGGGAUUCGUGGUGUAGCGGUGAAAUGCAUAGAUAUCACGAAGAACUCCGAUUGCGAAGGCAGCAUACCGGCUCCAUACUGACGCUGAGGCACGAAAGCGUGGGGAUCGAACAGGAUUAGAUACCCUUGUAGUC